rnacentral:lncRNA from 1 species
CUGGGCAGAUGCAAAAUCUGGAGAGCGCGAGGGCCGGGCGGUCAGUCAGCACCCAGACUGGCAGCAUGACCGGUCAGAUACCAAGGCUUUCUAAAGUCAACCUUUUCACUCUGCUCAGCCUCUGGAUGGAGCUCUUUCCAGCAGAAGCCCAGCGGCAAAAAUCUCAGAAAAAUGAAGAGGGAAAGCAUGGACCCUUAGGAGAUAAUGAAGAGAGGACCAGAGUAUCUACUGACAAAAGACAGGAUUACUGGAAGCAGCUAAGAUGCCUAGAUGAAAGGUUUACCAUCACU